rnacentral:sRNA from 1 species
GACCUUGAAAACUGAGCUGAUGGUCCAC